rnacentral:rRNA from 1 species
UGACGGUACCUGACUAAGAAGCUCCGGCUAAAUACGUGCCAGCAGCCGCGGUAAUACGUAUGGAGCAAGCGUUAUCCGGAUUUACUGGGUGUAAAGGGUGUGUAGGCGGCAUGGCAAGUCAGAAGUGAAAGACCGGGGCUCAACCCCGGGGCUGCUUUUGAAACUGUCGUGCUGGAGUCCAGGAGGGGCAAGCGGAAUUCCUAGUGUAGCGGUGAAAUGCGUAGAUAUUAGGAAGAACACCGGUGGCGAAGGCGGCUUGCUGGACUGGAACUGACGCUGAGGCACGAAAGCGUGGGGAGCAAACAGGAUUAGAUACCCUG